GGCUGACACAAAACCUUGUAACAUCUGCGAUAUGUAUUGAUGUUAGUGAUGUUUUGAAAGGUCACCGUAAAACUAGGUAUUGCCAGUCUUAAGCAAUGCUUUCAAAUCGCAGUUUAAAAGCCACAUUCUUUGGCGAAUGCCAUGGUUUUCGAGGCAUAAAGGAUUCUUAUUACGUGGCCUGUGUAUUUAUAUUGACAGUGAUUAAAAUCAG